AUCCAGAUGACGAAUCUCAAAUAGGACGAAACGCCUUUCUUGGAU
rnacentral:hammerhead_ribozyme from 1 species